AUUGAACGCUGGCGGCAUGCCUUACACAUGCAAGUCGAACGGGAACAGGUCUUCGGAUGCUGACGAGUGGCGAACGGGUGAGUAAUACAUCGGAACGUGCCCGAGAGUGGGGGAUAACGAAGCGAAAGCUUUGCUAAUACCGCAUACGAUCUCAGGAUGAAAGCAGGGGACCGCAAGGCCUUGCGCUCACGGAGCGGCCGAUGGCAGAUUAGGUAGUUGGUGGGAUAAAAGCUUAACAAGCCGACGAUCUGUAGCUGGUCUGAGGGGACGACCAGCCACACUGGGACUGAGAUGCGGCCCAGGCUCCUACGGGAGGCAGCAGUGGGGAAUGUUGGACAAUGGGCGCAAGCCUGAUCCAGCCUUGCCGCGGGCAGGAUGAAGGCCUUCGGGUUGUAAACUGCUUUUGUACGGAACGAAAAGACUCUGGUUAAUACCUGGGGUCCAUGACGGUACCGUAAGAAUAAGCACCGGCUAACUACGGGCCAGCAGCCGCCGUAA
rnacentral:rRNA from 1 species